rnacentral:rRNA from 1 species
AGAGUUUGAUUCUGGCUCAGAAUGAACGCUGGCGGCGUGCCUAACACAUGCAAGUCGUACGAGAAAGGGGCUUCGGCCCUGAGUAGAGUGGCGCACGGGUGAGUAACGCGUGGGUAAUCUACCCUUGGAUUUGGGAUAACUUCGCGAAAGCGGAGCUAAUACCGGAUAGUCUGGCUUUAAUUAAGAAGUCGGUAAAGGAUGCCUCUGCAUAUGCAUUCGUCCGAGGAUGAGCCCGCGUCUCAUUAGCUAGUUGGUAGGGUAAUGGCCUACCAAGGCAACGAUGAGUAGCUGGUCUGAGAGGAUGAUCAGCCACACUGGAACUGAAACACGGUCCAGACUCCUACGGGAGGCAGCAGUGGGGAAUAUUGCGCAAUGGGCGAAAGCCUGACGCAGCAACGCCGUGUGAGGGAUGAAGGCUUUCGGGUCGUAAACCUCUGUCGGAAGGGAAGAACGGGCAUUGGUCUAAUAGGCCUUUGUUUUGACGGUACCUUUAGAGGAAGCACCGGCUAACUCCGUGCCAGCAGCCGCGGUAAU